rnacentral:rRNA from 1 species
GACGAACGCUGGCGGCGUGCUUAACACAUGCAAGUCGAACGGUAAGGCCCUUCGGGGUACACGAGUGGCGAACGGGUGAGUAACACGUGGGUGAUCUGCCCUGCACUUCGGGAUAAGCCUGGGAAACUGGGUCUAAUACCGGAUAGGACCACUGCCUGCAUGGGUGGUGGUGGAAAGCUUUUGCGGUGUGGGAUGGGCCCGCGGCCUAUCAGCUUGUUGGUGGGGUGAUGGCCUACCAAGGCGACGACGGGUAGCCGGCCUGAGAGGGUGACCGGCCACACUGGGACUGAGAUACGGCCCAGACUCCUACGGGAGGCAGCAGUGGGGAAUAUUGCACAAUGGGCGCAAGCCUGAUGCAGCGACGCCGCGUGAGGGAUGACGGCCUUCGGGUUGUAAAGCUCUUUCGCACACGACGAUGAUGACGGUAGUGUGAGAAGAAGCCCCGGCUAACUUCGUGCCAGCCGCCGCCGUAA